UUAAGUUAUUAAGGGCGCACGGUGGAUGCCUUGGCACUAGAAGCCGAUGAAGGACGUUACUAACGACGAUAUGCUUUGGGGAGCUGUAAGUAAGCUUUGAUCCAGAGAUUUCCGAAUGGGGAAACCCAGCAUGAGUUAUGUCAUGUUAUCGAUAUGUGAAUACAUAGCAUAUCAGAAGGCACACCCGGAGAACUGAAACAUCUUAGUACCCGGAGGAAGAGAAAGAAAAUUCGAUUCCCUUAGUAGCGGCGAGCGAAACGGGAAGAGCCCAAACCAACAAGCUUGCUUGUUGGGGUUGUAGGACACUCUAUACGGAGUUACAAAGGACGACAUUAGACGAAUCAUCUGGAAAGAUGAAUCAAAGAAGGUAAUAAUCCUGUAGUCGAAAAUGUUGUCUCUCUUGAGUGGAUCCUGAGUACGACGGAGCACGUGAAAUUCCGUUGGAAUCUGGGAGGACCAUCUCCUAAGGCUAAAUACUCUCUAGUGACCGAUAGUGAACCAGUACCGUGAGGGAAAGGUGAAAAGCACCCCGGAAGGGGAGUGAAAUAGAACCUGAAACCGUGUGCUUACAAGUAGUCAGAGCCCGUUAAUGGGUGAUGGCGUGCCUUUUGUAGAAUGAACCGGCGAGUUACGAUUUGAUGCAAGGUUAAGCAGUAAAUGUGGAGCCGUAGCGAAAGCGAGUCUGAAUAGGGCGUUUAGUAUUUGGUCGUAGACCCGAAACCAGGUGAUCUACCCUUGGUCAGGUUGAAGUUCAGGUAACACUGAAUGGAGGACCGAACCGACUUACGUUGAAAAGUGAGCGGAUGAACUGAGGGUAGCGGAGAAAUUCCAAUCGAACCUGGAGAUAGCUGGUUCUCUCCGAAAUAGCUUUAGGGCUAGCCUCAAGUGAUGAUUAUUGGAGGUAGAGCACUGUUUGGACGAGGGGCCCCUCUCGGGUUACCGAAUUCAGACAAACUCCGAAUGCCAAUUAAUUUAACUUGGGAGUCAGAACAUGGGUGAUAAGGUCCGUGUUCGAAAGGGAAACAGCCCAGACCACCAGCUAAGGUCCCAAAAUAUAUGUUAAGUGGAAAAGGAUGUGGCGUUGCCCAGACAACUAGGAUGUUGGCUUAGAAGCAGCCAUCAUUUAAAGAGUGCGUAAUAGCUCACUAGUCGAGUGACACUGCGCCGAAAAUGUACCGGGGCUAAACAUAUUACCGAAGCUGUGGAUUGUCCUUUGGACAAUGGUAGGAGAGCGUUCUAAGGGCGUUGAAGCAUGAUCGUAAGGACAUGUGGAGCGCUUAGAAGUGAGAAUGCCGGUGUGAGUAGCGAAAGACGGGUGAGAAUCCCGUCCACCGAUUGACUAAGGUUUCCAGAGGAAGGCUCGUCCGCUCUGGGUUAGUCGGGUCCUAAGCUGAGGCCGACAGGCGUAGGCGAUGGAUAACAGGUUGAUAUUCCUGUACCACCUAUAAUCGUUUUAAUCGAUGGGGGGACGCAGUAGGAUAGGCGAAGCGUGCGAUUGGAUUGCACGUCUAAGCAGUAAGGCUGAGUAUUAGGCAAAUCCGGUACUCAUUAAGGCUGAGCUGUGAUGGGGAGAAGACAUUGUGUCUUCGAGUCGUUGAUUUCACACUGCCGAGAAAAGCCUCUAGAUAGAAAAUAGGUGCCCGUACCGCAAACCGACACAGGUAGUCAAGAUGAGAAUUCUAAGGUGAGCGAGCGAACUCUCGUUAAGGAACUCGGCAAAAUGACCCCGUAACUUCGGGAGAAGGGGUGCUCUUUAGGGUUAACGCCCAGAAGAGCCGCAGUGAAUAGGCCCAAGCGACUGUUUAUCAAAAACACAGGUCUCUGCUAAACCGUAAGGUGAUGUAUAGGGGCUGACGCCUGCCCGGUGCUGGAAGGUUAAGAGGAGUGGUUAGCUUCUGCGAAGCUACGAAUCGAAGCCCCAGUAAACGGCGGCCGUAACUAUAACGGUCCUAAGGUAGCGAAAUUCCUUGUCGGGUAAGUUCCGACCCGCACGAAAGGCGUAACGAUUUGGGCACUGUCUCAACGAGAGACUCGGUGAAAUCAUAGUACCUGUGAAGAUGCAGGUUACCCGCGACAGGACGGAAAGACCCCGUGGAGCUUUACUGUAGCCUGAUAUUGAAAUUCGGCACAGCUUGUACAGGAUAGGUAGGAGCCUUUGAAACGUGAGCGCUAGCUUACGUGGAGGCGCUGGUGGGAUACUACCCUAGCUGUGUUGGCUUUCUAACCCGCACCACU
rnacentral:rRNA from 3 species